UCCUUACCCAGUAACAUGUAGUGGAUGAUAGAUUUCCGCUCCUCCUGUGUUGAAGUUUAUUUCUUUCACAAUAGAGUUGAGUGCGUAUUUCCAUAGUGAAAUCGCUUUUUAUGCAUGAUUCAAGUAUUUCAUUUUUAUUCUAUUCUACUCGUUUCCCCUACGGAUGUUCCUUUGUUCCCCGCACUGAGUCUUUCCAUUUUUUAUGGAAUUCCUUUAGUCUCCCAGCAGUUUCUAAGUCUUAGCUUGGCCUACAC
rnacentral:lncRNA from 1 species